GACGAACGCUGGCGGCGUGCUUAACACAUGCAAGUCGAACGGAAAGGCCCUGCUUUUGUGGGGUGCCCGAGUGGCGAACGGGUGAGUAACACGUGAGUAACCUGCCCUUGACUUUGGGAUAACAUCAGGAAACUGGGGCUAAUACCGGAUAGGAGCUCCUGCUGCAUGGUGGGGGUUGGAAAGUUUCGGCGGUUGGGGAUGGACUCGCGGCUUAUCAGCUUGUUGGUGGGGUAGUGGCUUACCAAGGCUUUGACGGGUAGCCGGCCUGAGAGGGUGACCGGCCACAUUGGGACUGCGAUACGGCCCAGACUCCUACGGGAGGCAGCAGUGGGGAGUAUUGCACAAUGGGCGGAAGCCUGAUGCAGCGACGCCGCGUGCGUGAUGACGGCCUUCGGGUUGUAAACCGCUUUCGCCUGUGACGAAGCGUGUGUGACGGUAAUGAGUAAAGAAGCACCGGCUAACUACGUG
rnacentral:rRNA from 1 species